GGUUAAGCGACUAAGCGUACACGGUGGAUGCCCUGGCAGUCAGAGGCGAUGAAGGACGUGCUAAUCUGCGAUAAGCGUCGGUAAGGUGAUAUGAACCGUUAUAACCGGCGAUUUCCGAAUGGGGAAACCCAGUGUGUUUCGACACACUAUCAUUAACUGAAUCCAUAGGUUAAUGAGGCGAACCGGGGGAACUGAAACAUCUAAGUACCCCGAGGAAAAGAAAUCAACCGAGAUUCCCCCAGUAGCGGCGAGCGAACGGGGAGCAGCCCAGAGCCUGAAUCAGUGUGUGUGUUAGUGGAAGCGUCUGGAAAGGCGCGCGAUACAGGGUGACAGCCCCGUACACAAAAAUGCACAUACUGUGAGCUCGAUGAGUAGGGCGGGACACGUGGUAUCCUGUCUGAAUAUGGGGGGACCAUCCUCCAAGGCUAAAUACUCCUGACUGACCGAUAGUGAACCAGUACCGUGAGGGAAAGGCGAAAAGAACCCCGGCGAGGGGAGUGAAAAAGAACCUGAAACCGUGUACGUACAAGCAGUGGGAGCACGCUUCGGCGUGUGACUGCGUACCUUUUGUAUAAUGGGUCAGCGACUUAUAUUCUGUAGCAAGGUUAACCGAAUAGGGGAGCCGAAGGGAAACCGAGUCUUAACUGGGCGUUAAGUUGCAGGGUAUAGACCCGAAACCCGGUGAUCUAGCCAUGGGCAGGUUGAAGGUUGGGUAACACUAACUGGAGGACCGAACCGACUAAUGUUGAAAAAUUAGCGGAUGACUUGUGGCUGGGGGUGAAAGGCCAAUCAAACCGGGAGAUAGCUGGUUCUCCCCGAAAGCUAUUUAGGUAGCGCCUCGUGAAUUCAUCUCCGGGGGUAGAGCACUGUUUCGGCAAGGGGGUCAUCCCGACUUACCAACCCGAUGCAAACUGCGAAUACCGGAGAAUGUUAUCACGGGAGACACACGGCGGGUGCUAACGUCCGUCGUGAAGAGGGAAACAACCCAGACCGCCAGCUAAGGUCCCAAAGUCAUGGUUAAGUGGGAAACGAUGUGGGAAGGCCCAGACAGCCAGGAUGUUGGCUUAGAAGCAGCCAUCAUUUAAAGAAAGCGUAAUAGCUCACUGGUCGAGUCGGCCUGCGCGGAAGAUGUAACGGGGCUAAACCAUGCACCGAAGCUGCGGCAGCGACACUAUGUGUUGUUGGGUAGGGGAGCGUUCUGUAAGCCUGUGAAGGUGUACUGUGAGGUAUGCUGGAGGUAUCAGAAGUGCGAAUGCUGACAUAAGUAACGAUAAAGCGGGUGAAAAGCCCGCUCGCCGGAAGACCAAGGGUUCCUGUCCAACGUUAAUCGGGGCAGGGUGAGUCGACCCCUAAGGCGAGGCCGAAAGGCGUAGUCGAUGGGAAACAGGUUAAUAUUCCUGUACUUGGUGUUACUGCGAAGGGGGGACGGAGAAGGCUAUGUUGGCCGGGCGACGGUUGUCCCGGUUUAAGCGUGUAGGCUGGUUUUCCAGGCAAAUCCGGAAAAUCAAGGCUGAGGCGUGAUGACGAGGCACUACGGUGCUGAAGCAACAAAUGCCCUGCUUCCAGGAAAAGCCUCUAAGCAUCAGGUAACAUUAAAUCGUACCCCAAACCGACACAGGUGGUCAGGUAGAGAAUACCAAGGCGCUUGAGAGAACUCGGGUGAAGGAACUAGGCAAAAUGGUGCCGUAACUUCGGGAGAAGGCACGCUGAUAUGUAGGUGAAGUCCCUCGCGGAUGGAGCUGAAAUCAGUCGAAGAUACCAGCUGGCUGCAACUGUUUAUUAAAAACACAGCACUGUGCAAACACGAAAGUGGACGUAUACGGUGUGACGCCUGCCCGGUGCCGGAAGGUUAAUUGAUGGGGUUAGCGGUAACGCGAAGCUCUUGAUCGAAGCCCCGGUAAACGGCGGCCGUAACUAUAACGGUCCUAAGGUAGCGAAAUUCCUUGUCGGGUAAGUUCCGACCUGCACGAAUGGCGUAAUGAUGGCCAGGCUGUCUCCACCCGAGACUCAGUGAAAUUGAACUCGCUGUGAAGAUGCAGUGUACCCGCGGCAAGACGGAAAGACCCCGUGAACCUUUACUAUAGCUUGACACUGAACAUUGAGCCUUGAUGUGUAGGAUAGGUGGGAGGCUUUGAAGUGUGGACGCCAGUCUGCAUGGAGCCGACCUUGAAAUACCACCCUUUAAUGUUUGAUGUUCUAACGUUGACCCGUAAUCCGGGUUGCGGACAGUGUCUGGUGGGUAGUUUGACUGGGGCGGUCUCCUCCUAAAGAGUAACGGAGGAGCACGAAGGUUGGCUAAUCCUGGUCGGACAUCAGGAGGUUAGUGCAAUGGCAUAAGCCAGCUUGACUGCGAGCGUGACGGCGCGAGCAGGUGCGAAAGCAGGUCAUAGUGAUCCGGUGGUUCUGAAUGGAAGGGCCAUCGCUCAACGGAUAAAAGGUACUCCGGGGAUAACAGGCUGAUACCGCCCAAGAGUUCAUAUCGACGGCGGUGUUUGGCACCUCGAUGUCGGCUCAUCACAUCCUGGGGCUGAAGUAGGUCCCAAGGGUAUGGCUGUUCGCCAUUUAAAGUGGUACGCGAGCUGGGUUUAGAACGUCGUGAGACAGUUCGGUCCCUAUCUGCCGUGGGCGCUGGAGAACUGAGGGGGGCUGCUCCUAGUACGAGAGGACCGGAGUGGACGCAUCACUGGUGUUCGGGUUGUCAUGCCAAUGGCACUGCCCGGUAGCUAAAUGCGGAAGAGAUAAGUGCUGAAAGCAUCUAAGCACGAAACUUGCCCCGAGAUGAGUUCUCCCUGACUCCUUGAGAGUCCUGAAGGAACGUUGAAGACGACGACGUUGAUAGGCCGGGUGUGUAAGCGCAGCGAUGCGUUGAGCUAACCGGUACUAAUGAACCGUGAGGCUUAACCUUACAACGCCGAAGGUGUUUUG
rnacentral:rRNA from 2 species